rnacentral:misc_RNA from 1 species
UUUUUCAUUAUCCCACGAGGUAAGAAUCCAACACUUUACAUUAUUACUAGUAUUUUUCAAUGUUUUUCUAUCUACUCAAUCAACAUUGAGGCUGCCAUUUAGCAAAUAACAGCCUUCCAUUCAAUGUUGUCUGCACGUUAGUAAUGUCAUGUCAUUGAAGAAGAAAAUCUAGAUUAUACGUUGGCACAGAGCGCAAUAAUUCCAAAUUUUGUCAAAUAUGAAGCUUUCAAGUUUGAAAUACAGACCAAAUAACAAAAGAGAAAAUAAAUUUUAAAUUUAACAAAAGAGAAAACAAAUAAAAAUUUGAAGAGCCGUGCAAGCAAUUCUACUAUGUAAAUUCCCUUUUUUCUUUUUCCUAAUAGGUAAGGGGGCCAUGGUUAAAAG